rnacentral:rRNA from 1 species
GACGAACGCUGGCGGCGUUCUUAACACAUGCAAGUCGAACGGAAAGGCCCUGCUUUUGUGGGGUGCUCGAGUGGCGAACGGGUGAGUAACACGUGAGUAACCUGCCCUUGACUUUGGGAUAACUUCAGGAAACUGGGGCUAAUACCGGAUAGGAGCUCCUGCUGCAUGGUGGGGGUUGGAAAGUUUCGGCGGUUGGGGAUGGACUCGCGGCUUAUCAGCUUGUUGGUGGGGUAGUGGCUUACCAAGGCGUUGACGGGUAGCCGGCCUGAGAGGGUGACCGGCGACAUUGGGACUGAGAUACGGCCCAGACGGCUACGGGAGGCAGCAGUGGGGAAUAUUGCACAAUGGGCGGAAGCCGGAGGCAGCAACGCCGCGUGCGGGAUGACGGCCUUCGGGUUGUAAACCGCUUUCGCCUGUGACGAAGCGUGAGUGACGGUAAUGGGUAAAGAAGCACCGGCUAACUACGUG